UACGUAGGCAGCGAGCGUUGUUCGGAGUUACUGGGCGUAAAGGGUGUGUAGGCGGUUUUCUAAGUUUGGUGUGAAAUCUCCCGGCUCAACUGGGAGGGUGCGCCGGAAACUGGAGUGCUUGAGCGUGGGAGAGGAAAGCGGAAUUCCUGGUGUAGCGGUGAAAUGCGUAGAUAUCAGGAGGAACACCUGUGGUGUAGACGGCUUUCUGGACCAUAGCUGACGCUGAGACACGAAAGCGUGGGUAGCAAACAGG
rnacentral:rRNA from 1 species